GGAGCAUGUGGUUUAAUUCGAUGCAACGCGAAGAACCUUACCAAGAAUUGACAUGCUGCGAACGUUUACGAAAGUAAAAAGUCUAUUAACUUAGUUAAUAGCGCAGACACAGGUGGUGCAUGGUUGUCGUCAGCUCGUGCCGUGAGGUGUUAGGUUAAGUCCUGCAACGAGCGCAACCCUUGUCUUUAGUUAUAUUCUAGAGAGACUGCCGGUGACAAACCGGA
rnacentral:rRNA from 1 species